GCCUUCGUGGUGCAAUAGUCAGCGCUCUCGACGCGUUAUCGAGAGGUCCGUGGUUCGAUUCCCGGCAAAGGUG
rnacentral:tRNA from 1 species